ensembl:lncRNA
GCGGGUGUGCCACGGGGGAGGAACUGAGGGGAAUGGCUGUCCUUGUGACCAGCCACCUGGAUUCUGUUACCUGACGUUGUCUGGAGGAGAAGCAAACCGUCUAACAGGAGGCAGCGAUGCAAGUUGUAGGAAGGUGCCCACCGAAUUGUGGCUUGCACAGGCAACAGAGCCCUGGCGCGAGGGCUGGCUGGGGACAGCGAAGCGAGGGACGCAGCUUUGUGGCCCCGCGUGCCUGCCAGUGUCGUCCCGGAGGCGGGGCCGCGCUCUAAACCCACAGGGCUGGGCGGGGCUGAAGAUAGGUUUCCAGACCAAUGUGAGGGGCUGCUCCCAGCAGGCGGUUUGGCCCCGGCAGCAGCUUAGCAUCUGGGCCACACCACGCGGGCUCCCAGCGCUGUCCACCGCCCCUCCAGGAACGCGCUGGCCUCUUCUGCUGCGUGUGGAAACAAGGGAAACCCGGCCUCAAAGACUCUCAUGGGAGAACACUUGCCAGCUAAUGGCCAGGACACGGCCCCCUCCAACACCUCCUGCCCCUCCGCUGUUGAACUUCACACCCAAGUUUAUGUCACUGCUCCGUGCCCAGGACCUCGGAUGGCACCAGCUGACAGUGGCAUCCCAUCUCUACAAUUUGAGGUUUCACCCAUAUUCACAAAGGACCAGGGGGUGCAGGACCUCCAACCCAGGCAUCCAUGUCAUUUUUGCAAAAUAGGCAAAGCCAAGCCACAUUCUUCUGUGUUGACUGAUGGUGGGAAGAGGUGGAGUGCAUUGGUCAUCAGGGGAAGAGAGGAAACCAGUGUGGACGGAUGGCACUUCACUCACCCAGCUCUGUCCUCCUUCUCUGACUGGCGCUCUACAAAGCUCAGUAGGGUGCGGUUUCAUAGCCUGGGACCCAAGAAUCCGGGAAUUAUAUGAGGACCCAGCCCAGGUGCAUUUUGGGAGGCACCUGUGAGGAUCUGGAGAAUACAGAAGACAGAUACACUGUUUACUAAGGGCACAGCAUGCCAAGUCCUGUGGUAACAGCAGGUUACAGGCUCCAGGUGACUUCUUCUUUGGGCUAACUCAACGAUGGAGGAACUUAUUAUUCUAUUUUACACGAAGAAACUGCCACUUGGAUGGAAUAAAUAAAUAGACAGGAUUGCAUGGCUG